rnacentral:rRNA from 1 species
AUGAACACCGACAUCACCGCGUCAGUGAAGCCGGAGUACCCGGUGGUGGAUCGGAACCCUGCCUUCACCAAGGUCGUCGGCAACUUCUCCGCGCUCGACUACAUGCGCCUCUCCACCAUCUCCGCCGUCUCCGUCACCGUCGGCUACCUCUCCGGGAUCAAGCCGGGGAUCCGCGGGCCGUCGAUGGUGACGGGGGGCCUCAUCGGGGUCCUGGGAGGGUUCAUGUACGCCUACCAGAACUCCGCCGGACGCCUCAUGGGGUUCUUCCCCAACGAAUCCGAGGUCGCGCGCUACAAGUACAAGCUGUAG